UACGUAGGGGGCUAGCGUUGUCCGGAUUUAUUGGGCGUAAAGAGCGUGUAGGCGGCCAGGUAGGUCUGCUGUGAAAACUCGAGGCUCAACCUCGAGACGUCGGCGGAAACCAUCUGGCUAGAGUCCGGAAGAGGAGAGUGGAAUUCCUGGUGUAGCGGUGAAAUGCGCAGAUAUCAGGAGGAACCCCUGCGGUGUAGACGGCUUACUGGACCGCCACUGACGCUGAGGCACGAAAGCGUGGGUAGCAAACAGG
rnacentral:rRNA from 1 species